GCCACAAGUUCAAAUCUGAUUCAUUAUCAGUCGAAUGAGUAGUGUUAACAUGUACCUUGGCUUCAUGAGUAGGUUGCUUAGGUUUUUAAAUAAGUAGAUAGAGUUCAUCCUUCAGUCUACCAAUCUCCAUCACCUUUCAACUUGAGAGAUCUUAUAAAAUACAAAAGUCAGAAUUAAAAAAAAUCCAGAAUUUAGCUCCCUCGUGGCUUGGGUGACUUUAAAUACAGACAUUAAGUUGUAUUCAAACUGUGGUAGAAGGAACACACUUUUAGUAUACUUCUACUUGAAAUUGAAUUAAGUCAUAUAUGUGUAUCAAGCAAGAUGUCUCCAUUAAGAAGACAAACCUUUUUAGGAUUGACAUUUGCAAUAACUGAGGAUCUAUCUAGCAUGUGAACAUCAUAUACCAUGUGAUUUGUUGCUCCAGUGUCUAGAAUCCAGUUCGUAUUAUUAUCAUAAACUAGACAAACACUCUUAUGCAUAUUUCACAGGUUUUACCUGCAUUAUUUAGAUAUCCUGCCACAUUACAUUUUCUGAAGCACAAUUAUUAUUGUUCAACUACUGGAGUAUUUGUUCAUAUUUCUCUUCAGAAAACAGAUAGGAUUUAGGUUGUACUUGCAUUCCUUCAGCCAUCUGACACCUUGAAUCAUACUCCUGUUUCUGAUAGAGACUAGUCACAUUUUUUAUAACCUGACUUUCUUAUCCCUGAAUAAUUGUAGGAUCUUGCUCAGCCUGAACAUGAUAAGCUCCUCCUUAUCUACUUGUGUUUUCCUUUUUUUUUUUUAACUUGAUAGCCGAUUAACUCGUAGCAGUUUUUCUUAACAUGACCCUUCAGUUUACAGAAGUCACAUUGCACAUUAUAAUCCUUUUUAAAUCUUUGAACACCUGCACCUGCUUUUUGAGUACAAUAUUGAAGCUUCAUAUUGUGACGAAGCAUAGUGAAAUUUUGGUCCAUUUCCAAGUAGACCAACAAAAAAACUAAUAAACCAAGAGAUCUCUGGAUUUUUCAAAGUAACAACUGAGAAGAGGAACAAGAGCCUCAAGCUCAUUCCAUAAACCUUUAAGUUUGGUAAAAUAGAUUGAAACAGAUGAUGUUCCCUAAGUUAAAGAUGUAAUUUCUUUGUAGAGAUUGAAAGUUCUUGCACCAUUGAUUUUAUCAAAUCUUUCUUUCAAUUCUUCCCACAAAACCCAUACAUUAGAUGCAUAAAUAAAACCACUUAGUAGACUAUUAGACACAUAAUUCAUCAACCACGAUAACACUACAACAUUAAACCUUUUCUAUUUUAGCCCAAAGUUCUUUUGCAAAUUUCUCUUUCUUACAUGUACCAUCUAUGAAUCCUAUAUUGUUUCUUCCUAAAUAAGCUAUGCAUAGAAAUCUACUCCAAACAGAGUAAUUCUCUAUUAUAGUCAAUUGAAGAGAAACCAAAGAAACACCACUCAGAUCAAAAGUAUGUAAAUGGAGAGGAUGACUGAGAUCAAUCAUUUGUGUCACUGGAUUAACCUGCUGGUAGCAAGUCGUCAUUGCCAGAGUUUGUGAUCUUGAUUUUUGUGGAUUUCUUAUCACCAAAAUAAAAUCCCAGAAUUUGAGACAAAGAACUUAGAAAGAGAACACUUCUAUAGUUAGAUACUCGUAAUGCUCGAAUACCAUGAAUGAUCUUAGGCGUACUUAUAUGCCUAAUAACUACUUUAUAUCAUAUAUUUAGCCGAGUUGAGGACAUUUUGAUGGAAAAGUUAAGUAUUUAGAGUUGUUUUGAUUCCGCAUCUUCUAACCAAUAUGAUUAGAUUUUUCAGGCCAAAGAUCAUUGGAAAACGAGUUGAAUUUGGGCACCAGAUCAAAAGUCAGAAAGUAGAAGAAAAAGUGGCUGAAAAGAAGAACCAAGAAGAUAGAAAUUGCAUUGGAAAAGGAGAAUCUCCUCAUCGCGGAGGCAUUUCUUCCAUGCAGAGAAGGAACUCCCCAUAACAGGGGAGUUCGCGAUAGAGUUGCGUCGUGAGGGGUCAUUCCACCCAUGAGCCAAGUGGUGCGAGGGAACAGGUCCGCGUGGACACAAAAAUCAUCCCACGUGUUUUUUUAGACUAUAAAUAGUUUAAGUGUCCUCUUAUUGUACAAUACAAUUUCCAAAAAAAAGACGAGAGCUAGGAAAAAGGCGAUUUUGGUGCCAUUUUCUAGGAUUUUUCCUCUUCUUCUUCAUCUUGGAUAAUACAUUCUAUAUUGUUAUUUGAUGUCAUGAGUAGCUAAAACCCCAUUUCCUAGGGUUGUAGCUAUGAUUGAUGGUUUAAUGUGAACUUAUUUCUUUUAAAGGAAGGGUUAUUUUAAAC